AUGAAAUUCUGUUUUUCUAUGCUCGAGCAGCUCAUGUUACAACUAGGGCUGCCUAUAUCUUCCAUGCUAGGUGGGUUAUUAUCAAGAGGAGUGGACUUCGCUCCUCAUUCACGAGAAAGGGUCGGUAACCGGGAUGCCCAGUCCCAUGAUCCAAAAAGAUCAAAGCAAAUCAAUAUAAUUAAACAAAACUCCCCCAGGGCUAUUGUUAUUUGGAGGUACUCGUUGUUUCGAGCAAGCCAUGGAUUGAUGCUUGUUGGUGGUUGGGGGAGUAUAAACCUUUACAAUUCUGUUUGGGAACUGCCUAUAAUGCAUGUAGUAUGGAAGAUACAGCCAUCUCAUAGUUGUUGCAUUGACAGCGAAAGUAUGCCGCUAAAAAUGUUAUUCAAUCUCUAUUUUAAAAUAGAGCUCUGGCACCUCUACAAAUCCCUACCUCCCUCUGCGAAGGGCCUAUCUAUUACUUUUAUGUUGAGUCAUCAUCCCUCUUAUUAA
rnacentral:rRNA from 1 species